UACGUAGGGGGCAAGCGUUGUCCGGAUUUAUUGGGCGUAAAGAGCGUGUAGGCGGCCUGAAAGGUCAGCUGUGAAACUCGAGGCUCAACCUCGAGACGUCGGUUGAAACCAUCUGGCUAGAGUCCGGAAGAGGAGAGUGGAAGUUCCCGGUGUAGCGGUGAAAUGCGCAGAUAUCAGGAGGAACACCGGUGGCGAAGGCGGGUCUCUGGGCCGAUACUGACACUGAGGAGCGAAAGCGUGGGGAGCGAACAGG
rnacentral:rRNA from 1 species